CCAUUUCAACCAUGGCUUCUCUGAUUGACUCCUUAUUACACCAAAUGACAGCUUUUAAAGCCGAGCACUGCAAAGCUCACACGAGGGCCACUAGCCUGGGUCUACCACCCCAACUUCUUUGCCUGGAGGAUCAUCGACAGCCGCUGCGGUUGACCAGAGCAGUCCAAAAUGAGCAGAGUGGGGACGGCAUGGGUGUUCCUGCUGUUGAGGAUACUUCCCUUGGUGAUGACUGAAGAUCCACGUUGGGGAAUCUUCCCAAACCCAUGCUGUUGACGAAUUCAGCACAAGUGUUCCCUCAAUUUUUCACAUCUAAUGCUUCACUGCAGUUACCCUUUUUACCAUGGGAUGGGGAAAUAGUGCCUGUGGAGGAACCAAUGCAGCUUCAGCUGAGGGAAUUGCUGUGCUUUCAAAUGAUUCAAAAUAUUUCUCAGAAAUGUGUGGUUGUUGUGUGGUGUGAAUGGUAGUUGCACAGAUCUUUCUCCUCUGAGUAUGCUAGUGGGGGGGCAUGGGGUAAUGCAAGUUUUUAUUGGAAUGGGUCUAGUGUGUUUGAAUCCUCUGUAUCUCAACUUGCUGGAGGGUUCAAUGCUUCCUUUAAGGCUACACCUGUUUGUUUGUGGCCUCCUUUUGUGUUUAUUGUUUAUAAUGGUAGUUAUGAGAAUAAUGUUGUUAAUUAUAGUAGUGAUAUUUGUUAUUAUAGUAUGUGCUGGAAUGUAUCUGAAUAUCAUUUAGCUGUUGUGACUAGGAUGCCUCGCUUUGUACCUUGGCCUGUUCAAGCUCCUUCUGCUAUGACUUUGUUUAGACCUAAGAGGGAUUUUUGGCAUUACUGCGGCCAUUGUCACUGCUAUAGCAAUUUCUGCCACCACAGCCACGGCUGCAGCCAUAUCCCUUACCUCUGUGGUACAAACUGCUGCGGCUGUGAGUAAUUUAUCCGUGGGUGUUGCAGAUAUCUCAGUACCUUAAGGACUGGCCAGCUGUCUCCCACUUGAAAGAGUGGGCCAGAAUUGGUGGACUUGCCCUGUGUCUGAUAUUAAUCAGCAUCCUGGCCUUUUGGUGCAUUUGCCGUAUACAGUUUCAUCAGUGCAGAACCCAAGCCUUGAUGAUACAGGCUUUUGUAGCAGUGGAGACAGGACAGUCUCCUCAAGUGUGGCUGGGCAUGCUAGAGAUGUAGUCAAUGACGGGUAAGACUCCCUGGGCGUGUCACCAACCUAAGACAGGGAUCAAACCAAAGCUGUUUGUCUCCUAAUGACGGGUAAGGGGCAUUACCUCAGGGGGCAACCUAAGACAGACAUUCUCUCUGCC
rnacentral:lncRNA from 1 species